rnacentral:piRNA from 2 species
GGGUGGUUCAGUGGUAGAAUUCUCGCCUGC